UAUCAAUAAGCGGAGGAAAAGAAACCAACAGGGAUUGCCCCAGUAACGGCGAGUGAAGCGGCAACAGCUCAAAUUUGAAAUCUGGCUCUCGGGCCCGAGUUGUAAUUUGUAGAGGAUGCUUUUGGUGAGGUGCCUUCCGAGUUCCCUGGAACGGGACGCCAUAGAGGGUGAGAGCCCCGUCUGGUUGGACACCGAUCCUCUGUAAAGCUCCUUCGACGAGUCGAGUAGUUUGGGAAUGCUGCUCUAAAUGGGAGGUAUAUGUCUUCUAAAGCUAAAUACCGGCCAGAGACCGAUAGCGCACAAGUAGAGUGAUCGAAAGAUGAAAAGAACUUUGAAAAGAGAGUUAAACAGUACGUGAAAUUGUUGAAAGGGAAGCGCUUGUGACCAGACUUGGGCUUGGUUGAUCAUCCGGGGUUCUCCCCGGUGCACUCUUCCGGCCCAGGCCAGCAUCAGUUCGCCCUGGGGGACAAAGGCUUCGGGAAUGUGGCUCUCUCCGGGGAGUGUUAUAGCCCGUUGCGUAAUACCCUGUGGCGGACUGAGGUUCGCGCAUUCGCAAGGAUGCUGGCGUAAUGGUCAUCAGUG
rnacentral:rRNA from 1 species